UGGGCAGAAGGUCAGGUUCAAAAGUGCUGAGCCUCCAGCAGGAAGAACAGAAAGGUUAAAGAGUCUCCACACCACUGAGAGAGACAUGAGAGGCACAGUGAAGAGGCUUUUCAAAACUAAUACAACCCACAGCUGCAAAGGUUGUUUGAGCCCACUACAGAGGCCAGCCCCACAGUGUAAGACCGACUACAGUAACUGGUGUGAUAAACAGCAGAUAGAGCUAAUUCUUCAGACUGUGACUCUACAAAACCACUACAAAGUCCAGUUUUGGCUGCACGUCUAUGCUACUCCCAACAUGCCAGAGAACUCAGAGCCCAUUGGUCUCUGUUGGUCUCUGUGCCAACAAGAACCAUGUUGUUCGUUCCUGUAAUGUUGGCAACAUCAUUGCACAGUAUAAUGGGUUUCAGCUUGCUGGCCAUUUUG